rnacentral:rRNA from 1 species
GACGAACGCUGGCGGCGUGCCUAAUACAUGCAAGUCGAACGCAGUGGGGACGGGUGCGUAACACGUGGGUAACCUCCCCUCAGAGGAGAUAACCCUUGGAAACAGGUGCUAAACCGCUACUGAUUGAUGGACCCGCGGGGCAUUAGCUAGGUGGGGAGGUAACGGCGCACCAAGGCCACGAUGCAUAGCCGACCUGAGAGGGGGAUCGGCCACACGGGGACUGAGACACGGCCCAGACUCCUACGGGAGGCAGCAGUAGGGAAUCUGCGGCAAUGGACGAAAGUCUGACGGAGCAACGCCGCGUGAGUGAAGAAGGCUUUCGGAUCGUAAAACUCUGUUGUUAGAGAAGCGGUAUCUAACCAGAAAGCCACGGCUAACUACGUGCCAGCAGCCGCGGUAAUUC